rnacentral:rRNA from 1 species
AUUUAUAAGUUGUAUUGUGCUGAAAAUAUCGGUUCCGGUCGAUCUUCGACGUUAACUAGCGUUGGGCUUGCUUAGUAGUACUUGGAUGAGUGACCGCCUGAGAACUUCAGGUGUUAUUUCUU